CAACAUGAGCGAUGAAGAUUUUAUACUCUGCUUGCUUGCUGGCUUAGGUCAUGAGUAUAACUCAAUUGUUACUACAAUCAAUGCUAGGCCUGAAAGCACUAUGCCUUCUGAAGUGUAUGGAAUGCUGCUGAGUCAUGA
rfam:Citrus sinensis cultivar Ridge Pineapple sweet orange scaffold00386_contig_4, whole genome shotgun sequence.